rnacentral:rRNA from 1 species
GAUGAACGCUGGCGGCGUGCCUAAUACAUGCAAGUCGAGCGAACAGACGAGAGUGCUUGCACUCUCUGACGUUAGCGGCGGACGGGUGAGUAACACGUGGGUAACCUACCUAUAAGACUGGGAUAACUUCGGGAAACCGGAGCUAAUACCGGAUAAUAUUUAGCUUCGCAUGAAGCAAUAGUGAAAGACGAUUCUGCUGUCACUUAUAGAUGGACCCGCGGUGUAUUAGCUAGUUGGUGAGGUAACGGCUCACCAAGGCAACGAUACAUAGCCGACCUGAGAGGGUGAUCGGCCACACUGGGACUGAGACACGGCCCAGACUCCUACGGGAGGCAGCAGUAGGGAAUCUUCCGCAAUGGACGAAAGUCUGACGGAGCAAUGCCGCGUGAGUGAAGAAGGUUUUCGGAUCGUAAAACUCUGUUGUAAGGGAAGAACAAGGACGUUAGUAACUGAACGUACCUUGACGGUACCUUACCAGAAAGCCACGGCUAACUACGUG